GUGCUCGCUUCAGCAGCACAUGCACUGAAACUGGGAUGAUUUAGAGACCAGCCUGGCCCCUGUGCAAGGCCGACACACAAAUUUGUGAAGUGUUUCAUGUGUUU